rnacentral:rRNA from 1 species
ACCCUCAGCCAUAUUACCCUGCAGCCCAAGACCGGUUACUUACUGAAGCUAAGCAGGGCUGAUCCUGGUCAGUACCUGGAUGGGAGACCACUAGGGAACACUAGGUUGCUGUUGGAA